GCACCCCUAGCUCAACUGGAUAGAGCAUCGGACUACGAAUCCGAAGGUUGCAGGUUCGAAUCCUGCGGGGUGUAC
rnacentral:tRNA from 3 species